GCAAAAAGUGAGAACCAUGUAGGUUGUGACCUGGUCAAUUUCGUAGUGCCAUGGUUAUCAAGAAUGUUUAUCCAGUGAAAGGGACAACCUGAUGAGCAUCUACCAAAGUGAAGGUCUGCCCCGCCACACACCACUGGAUUGAUGCAUUAGCGCUGUUAGUGUACUGUGAUAUGGUUGAUGCUCUGCUCACUACUAAGCAGCAUGCUUGGGGAGAAUGGAGUCAGUCAACCAUGAAAUCAUCGCCCCCCGCGAUUUCACACUCAUCUUUCAUUGUCUUUCCAUCUUCCAUGGUGGGAAUCUUCGAACAAUUCGAAGGCGACUCUCUUCUUGUCCUGUUGUGAUUAAAGACUCGCCACAACAUGCCCAGUAUCUUUCUGCAAUGUUUUAGGUGAAGUAUUUGGAGAUUGGUUUCUAUCUUGUCUGGAGUUUCAACAGCAAUGUGUCAAUUUCCGUUUUUCCUGUUUCUGGAAUUCUUUAUUUUUUUUUAUCUCACGCCAUCAAAUGCUAACCUGUUCUGGUGAACAGACAAACAGAAGACUACAACAGAUUUUAGAAACCCCCAGAUCUCUAUGGGUACCCAUUGUUACAAGUGGAAUAUCGCAAUCAUCCAUGUAGCCACAUAAAUGCAUGCAUUCAAUAACUAAUUUCAUCAUAA